rnacentral:misc_RNA from 1 species
GCUGAUGACCUUGAGGAGCGACAGAAGUUGAUGCACCAGAAUUAGGUUGGCAUAGUGCCUGAAGUGCUGGGUAAAGAGCCUGCAAAGCAGGGUAUAAUGCUUGGAGAGCAGCUUGUCCAACCAUUGCUUGUUGGCCUUGGAAGUCCUUAACAUUUGAAAGGUGUUUCCUUCCUGCCAGAUGGCUUUGGAAAACAACUACUGAUUCACACUUUACAUUACAGAGUUCACAUAUUAAGGGAACCAUUUUUUGGGGCUUAGGAGGCACAGCAGGUUUUCUUGAGCCAUUCUGUGUCUUCAUCAAU